rnacentral:rRNA from 1 species
CCCUACGGGGUGCAGCAGAUCAAAAAGGCCAUUGAUUCAUUAAAGAGCAUUUAUACAAAUAAUAAAAAAUAAGGAUUUAAUACACCUAAAAACAUUGUAUGAAAAAAAUAUUUAUCUUCUUUCUAUUCAUCAUCGUAAUGACUAAAAGUUUUGGACAAACAGGUUUAUAUAAAAGUAGUCAUUAUGAAUUUAAAAGUGUAACCGAUUCUUCAAAAAAUGUUAAAGAAUGGGAUACGAAAAUCCUGACACUGGAUUUCGAUGCAAUAGUUAAUAAAUAUUUUAUGUGGAGAACAACUGAUGCCCAGACAGGAUCAGAUGUAUUUUUUAAAUGGAAUAUUAAGACCAAAGGUGAAGUAACAUAUGAUAAAUCCAAAAAUAUCGUUCAGACAAUUUAUUAUGCUAAAAUGGAAUUGGCGGGGGGGC